rnacentral:rRNA from 1 species
GACGAACCGUGCGAACGUUGUUCGGAUUCACUGGGCUUAAAGGGCGCGUAGGCGGACGGUCAAGUCGGGGGUGAAAUCUUUCAGCUUAACUGGAAAAGUGCCUCCGAUACUGAUCGUCUCGAGGGAGGUAGGGGCAUGUGGAACUUCCGGUGGAGCGGUGAAAUGCGCAGAUAUCAGGAAGAACACCCGUGGCUAAGGCGGCUCUCUAGUACGGUACUGACGCUGAGACGCGAAAGCGUGGGGAGCGAACAGG